rnacentral:rRNA from 1 species
UACGAAGGGGGCUAGCGUUGUUCGGAAUCACUGGGCGUAAAGCGCACGUAGGCGGAUUUGUAAGUCAGGGGUGAAAUCCCGGGGCUCAACCUCGGAACUGCCUCUGAUACUGCAAGUCUCGAGUCCGGAAGAGGUGAGUGGAAUUCCUAGUGUAGAGGUGAAAUUCGUAGAUAUUAGGAAGAACACCAGUGGCGAAGGCGGCUCACUGGCCCGAUACUGACGCUGAGGCACGAAAGCGUGGGGAGCAAACAGG